AUAAAUCCUCAGAGGAAAUGUAUCAAAAACGGAUGGUCUUAUUUCUCUUUGCUUUGACCAUGUCUAUGUCCUGUUCAUCUAAUUUUGCCAUGGCCCUAGCUGGUGCUGGACUAUCAGGCCCUUGUAGAAGCUAGGUUAUGCUACUUGAAAGAAAAGAACUCAUUGGGCUGCUACAGGGAUUUCACAAGCAGCAAGCACAUUCAAGAGCAGAGAGAAGAAUUGUUGGUGGAUCUGAGAAGUAUUAUCACCUAUCAUCCCAAGGAAUCAGGGACUCUGAGGAACAGUAUUUCUUCUGAUCUCAAGAGGUGGAAAAUUGAGGCAACCUUCAUCUCCUGGAGAAUAACGCCCUCUUGCCCCAUAACCCA